UGGCGAUGGUUCCGUAACACAGCGGGUGUCUGUGCACGAUCGCCUUGGUCCUGCAAAAUCUUCCUGGGAUAAUAAGUCAGGUCGAAGCUCAGGUGGUGGUGGCAGUGGCAUAGGGAGGCAAAAACGUGGAGACAAACCAAAGGGUCACCAGGGUGGAGGGGGAGGAGCCAACAACAGCAGCAGCAGCGGCAGCGCCAGCAGAUUGAAGAUGAGGCAGUGAAGUCUUGCUGCUGGGGAUGCAGUAUCUAAGUUGGCGUGUUCAUGAGAGGACUGAUAUCCCUCCGUGCGCUUAAGGGACACUGAGGCUUCUUCUGUACCUGGAUUUAUCUUAGCCUCUGUCCUAUUUAUGCAUGCCCCCCAAGACACACCUUAGACGACAGUGUGUUUUUUGCACAUUGUUUAAAAAGGACAUGUAUUUUGUAGGUUGAUUUGUAAAGUAUUAAAUUAAUGUUGACACAAUUAUAAUGAUGCUUCAGAUGUCCUCAGAAUAAAAGAUGGACAGGAUAUUGAUUAGUUGACAAUUUGUAGUAUGUUGUUGUAUGUGAGGCUUAAGUGCAUCAUUAAGGUUGUAUACUUGUAUUAUAGUGUAAUUAGGCUUCAUUGUGUUAAGUGAAUUGUGAAUUAAAUAUGAUCAAGUUUUUCAUCAUAGAUCAUUAGAUAUGAAGUCGUUUAACAGUUUCAAUAAGUUGUAUGGAAAUCAUUGCACUGUUCAGUUUUGUACAUUUUGUCUUCAUUAUUACUUUAUUUGUAACCAAGUUAUUAUGUAUUACCUUUCAUCAGAAGUAAAUGUUAAAAUUUCUGUUCACAUAAGUAGUUUGAGAUGUGUAUCUUUAUUCAUUAUUGCAAAUUUUCAUGUUUAUUUGAUAUUCUUACUUCAUAUUUCAUCUUGAGUGUUAAUGAGUUAGGUAGUGCCAUGUAUUAUUUUUAGUUGCUUGACACUGUACAUCAGUAUACUUGUAGUUCAUCUGAUUUUGUUUCAUAUCAGAGAUCUGCUUUAACUUUUUAUUUACAUUAAGAAUGGUAAUUUUUUUUCAUUAAACAGAAAAAACACAAAAAUCAGGUCAAGAGAAUAUGAUAGUGCCAAGUAGUUUUCAGAUAUUUUCAAGACUUACAUUUCACUCAUCUUGAAAUACAGUACUUACCUCUAGGGCCCUGUGCAUGUAUCAACACUUUUGGUGCUGCAUUAUGUUUUCCAAAGAGAUGUCACUUCCAAAACAUGGUAACUCUCGCAAUAAAGUUACUGAUUCCAUUCCUCUCCAUAAGUCUGCACUAAUUUUUUCUUUAAUGCUAUUGCUUUGCUGUAAGUACAGUUAUUUGCUUGUAAAAAUUCAAAACAUUUGAACUUGCUGUUUAGUUUCUCAUGUUCUCAUUUAUCAUAAGUAUUACAUUUCAUGUGAAAAACUUUCCAUAGGGGCCAUUUGCUUGCAAAGUGGCCUUGCAUGGCACAGUGUAGAUUGUAUUAAAGGGUCUUUGCAGCAUCUUUUCAUUUAGUUUUUCCCACUUACAUAGUAUACUUCUUAAUUUGAAUCUUAUCCAAUUGUCACAUUCAUUCAAAAAUCGUCCUUCAGGUAACCCACAGGGAAUUAUAGAAAUGUUUCUCAUUGUUGUUGCAGUUCAUUUAUAAUGUACUGAAAUGUAAGAAGAUGUUUCCAUAUUUCUUUUUCCAGCUUAAAUUAUCUUUCUUAAUUUUCAAAUGCAUAAAGUGAAAAGUUAGCGUAAAUCAUUAAGGUCUUACCCAAAACAUAUUGAAUAACAAUAUUUUGUAGUAUAGUUCAACAAUAAUAUUUAUGAUGAAAAGUUAUGAUUUUUUUCCUAUCAAAUGUUCGUUGAAGAUUUACAGAGUAACUGAUAAAAUCGAUUUCAACUCACUGAGAAUGUUCAUAAAACUUUUCAAUCAGAUUAUUUGGUUUUACACUUGCAGAUGAAUCUUUUCUCUCUAGGAAAUUCACACACACACACACACACACACACACACACACACACACACACACACACACAUACUUGCAAGCUCAGAGUCAUUUUCUCAGUAUUCAAAUGUACAUGUGAGAUGCAUUAAAGAACACUUAAUAACAAAAAUUAAUUUUAUAUUGAUAUAAAAACUAAAUAAGGAUGAUCAGCCAGUGAUGAGAAAAAAUGUUCUUUAUGUUAAUCUUGUCAGAUGGAAUUUUAACUGUUUUAUCAUCAUUGUAUUCAUAGGAGAUCAUAGUACCAACAGUACAUAUUUUUUCCACAGUUCAAGUCAUUAAGUCUUUCAUUGCUCAGUUUAUUUGGGUACAUCUUUAUUAUAAUUUCAUCAUUCAUGUUUUGAAUGUUAGUUUAGAAUAUUCAUAUGAUGUCAUUUUCAUACCCAAAGAUGAGUGCAUUAAGCUUGAAUAAAUUGUAUAUUUUGAAA